GGGUUGUGAGGUUAAGCGACUAAGCGUACACGGUGGAUGCCCUGGCAGUCAGAGGCGAUGAAGGACGUGCUAAUCUGCGAUAAGCGCCGGUAAGGUGAUAUGAACCGUUAUAACCGGCGAUUUCCGAAUGGGGAAACCCAGUGCGA
rnacentral:rRNA from 1 species